UACGUAGGGUGCAAGCGUUAAUCGGAAUUACUGGGCGUAAAGCGUGCGCAGGCGGUUAUGUAAGACAGUUGUGAAAUCCCCGGGCUCAACCUGGGAACUGCAUUUGUGACUGCAUCGCUGGAGUGCGGCAGAGGGGGAUGGAAUUCCGCGUGUAGCAGUGAAAUGCGUAGAUAUGCGGAGGAACACCGAUGGCGAAGGCAAUCCCCUGGGCCUGCACUGACGCUCAUGCACGAAAGCAUGGGGAGCAAAAGGG
rnacentral:rRNA from 1 species